rnacentral:rRNA from 1 species
CCUACGGGCGGCAGCAGUGGGGAAUAUUGGACAAUGGGGGGAACCCUGAUCCAGCCAUGCCGCGUGUGUGAAGAAGGCCCUCGGGUUGUAAAGCACUUUCAGUGAGGAAGAACGCCUGGUGGUUAAUACCCAUCAGGAAAGACAUCACUCACAGAAGAAGCACCGGCUAACUCCGUGCCAGCAGCCGCGGUAAUACGGAGGGUGCGAGCGGUAAUCGGAAUUACUGGGCGUAAAGCGCGCGUAGGUGGCUUGAUAAGCCGGUUGUGAAAGCCCCGGGCUCAACCUGGGAACGGCAUCCGGAACUGUCAAGCUAGAGUGCAGGAGAGGAAGGUAGAAUUCCCGGUGUAGCGGUGAAAUGCGUAGAGAUCGGGAGGAAUACCAGUGGCGAAGGCGGCCUUCUGGACUGAAACUGACACUGAGGUGCGAAAGCGUGGGUAGCAAACAGGAUUAGAUACCCCUGUAGUC